CACUAAGCGGAGGAAAAGAAACUAACAAGGAUUCCCUUAGUAACGGCGAGUGAACCGGGAAGAGCCCAGCACCUAAUCCCCUGCAUCGACUGUAGCGGGAACUGUGGUGUUCAGGAGAGCCUGUGGAGCUGGCGGUGGCGUCCGAGUCCUCACGAACGGGGCUUUCGCCAGAGCGGGUGUCAGUCCUCUAGGACGCAGCCGUCCAGUUGCUCAGUACCUCCUAGGAGUCGGGUUGUUUGAGAUUGCAGCCCAAAGUGGGUGGUAAACUCCAUCUAAGGCUAAAUACUGGCACGAGACCGAUAGCAAACAAGUACCGUGAGGGAAAGUU
rnacentral:rRNA from 1 species